GAGGAGACUCUUCCAAACACCUCUGGAACAAGCUGAGGCAAGAGAUUUCAGGAGCACCAACCAUAAGUACUCUAGCUGUUCCAAGGGUGCUGUUUCUUCACAUAUAUUCCUUCCUGCUCAGCGCAGAUUUUCAGAAAGGAUUCCACAGCUUCUUCACUGCUCAGCCAUGAGCUUGGUACCUAUACCAGUGCUUAUGGUACUUUUUGUCCUGAGAGGAACCGGGGCCCAGUCAGUGACCCAGCCUGAUGGCCACGUCACUGUCUCCGAAGGAGACCCUCUGGAGCUGCGGUGCAACUAUUCCUCUUCUGUUCCACCGUAUCUCUUCUGGUAUGUGCAAUACCCCAACCAAGGACUCCAGCUUCUCCUGAAGUACACGUCUGGAAACAGCCUCGUCACAGGCAUCAAAAGUUUUAAGGCUGAAUUUAGCAAGAGUGAAAGCUCCUUUCACCUGAAGAAAGCCUCAGCCCAUUUGAGCGACUCAGCCCAGUACUUCUGUGCUGUGAGUGACACAGUGCCUGGGGCUGCAGGGGGAGCUGAACACAAACUUUGGGUGAAUGUGAGGCUUUCAGUGACUCAAGGGCUCAGCCUGGAGAAUUCUCAGUAAGAUCUCAGGAUCUCUAAAGAAAAGUAGGGCAGAAGGGACUCAACUGCUUAGGUCUAGUGCAGAACCUGGUCUUUACUUACUCUUCAAAGAGUCAGGAUUCAUGAGAAAGAGCAACUCAUGAGAAAAAUCUCAAUGUCUGCAACAGACUGGAGACUGGAACCCACUCAGGGAAUCAACUCAAGUGAGACAGUGGCAGGGACUGUUUUUGGGGAUUGCCAUCUGACCAGGGACCAGACGUAGGAAAAUGCUGCAAACGUCUGCACUGAGGCUUCUCUGUCACUGAGGAACUUUUCUUAAGGUUCCAGAUAAUGGAAUCUGUUUGUGAAUAUUUGAAAAACUGAAUGGGGAGAUGAAGGUUAAGAACAGUUAGGGGAAGAACUGGCGAGCAUGUGAUAAAUUCAAACCACUAAGCACACCAGGAGAUUGUUUACUGACGUUCC